GGGCCCGCACAAGCGGUGGAGCAUGUGGUUUAAUUCGAUGAUACGCGAGGAACCUUACCAGGGCUUAAAUGUAGAGCGACAGAGGUGGAAACACCUCCUUCUUCGGACGGUCUACAAGGUGCUGCAUGGUUGUCGUCAGCUCGUGCUGUGAAGUGUCGGGUUAAGUCCCAUAACGAGCGCAACCCCUAUUUCUAGUUGCCAGCGGUUCGGCCGGGGACUCUAGAGAAACUGCCAGCGUAAGCUGUGAGGAAGGUGGGGAUGACGUCAAAUCAUCACGGCCCUUACGUCCUGGGCCACACACGUGCUACAAUGGUGGAGACAGUGGGUUAAUCCCAAAAACUAUCUCAGUUCGGAUUGUCGUCUGCAACUCGACGGCAUG
rnacentral:rRNA from 1 species